rnacentral:rRNA from 1 species
ACGGGGAGCACCACAACAGGUGGAGCCUGCGGUUUAAUCGGACUCAACGCCGGGAAACUCACCAGAUAAGACAGCUGAAUGAUAGUCGGGCUGAAGACUCUACUUGACUAGCUGAGAGGAGGUGCAUGGCCGUCGUCAGUUCGUACUGUGAAGCAUCCUGUUAAGUCAGGCAACGAGCGAGACCCACGCCAACAGUUGCCAGCUCGUCCUCCGGGAUGGUGGGGACACUGUUGGGACCGCCUCUGCUAAAGAGGAGGAAGGAAUGGGCAACGGUAGGUCAGCAUGCCCCGAAUUAUCUGGGCUACACGCGGGCUACAAUGGGUGGGACAAUGGGUAUCGACACCGAAAGGUGAAGGCAAUCUCCUAAACCCAUCCGUAGUUCGGAUUGUGGGCUGCAACUCGCCCACAUGAAGCUGGAAUCUGUAGUAAUCGUGUCUCAACAGAACGCGGUGAAUACGUCCCUGCUCCUU